GAAAACGCGGCAGAUUGGGUGUUAAAUAGCCUGGCAGACCUGCCGCAAGCGAUAAAAAAGCAGCAAAAACCGGCGCAAUGAUUAAAAGAUGAGCGGUUGAAAUAAAAAUGCAUUUUUCCGCUUGUCUUCCUGAGCCGACUCCCUAUAAUGCGCCUCCAUCGACACGGCGAAUGUGAAUCACUUCACACAAACAGCCGGUUCGGUUGAAGAGAAAAAAUCCUGAAAUUCAGGGUUGACUCUGAAAGAGGAAAGCGUAAUAUACGCCACCUCGCGACAGUGAGCUGAAAGCCGCGUCGCAACUGCUCUUUAACAAUUUAUCAGACAAUCUGUGUGGGCACUCGAAGAUACGGAUUCUUAACGUCGCAAGACGAAAAAUGAAUACCAAGUCUCAAGAGUGAACACGUAAUUCAUUACGAAGUUUAAUUCUUUGAGCAUCAAACUUUUAAAUUGAAGAGUUUGAUCAUGGCUCAGAUUGAACGCUGGCGGCAGGCCUAACACAUGCAAGUCGAACGGUAACAGGAAGAAGCUUGCUUCUUUGCUGACGAGUGGCGGACGGGUGAGUAAUGUCUGGGAAACUGCCUGAUGGAGGGGGAUAACUACUGGAAACGGUAGCUAAUACCGCAUAACGUCGCAAGACCAAAGAGGGGGACCUUCGGGCCUCUUGCCAUCGGAUGUGCCCAGAUGGGAUUAGCUAGUAGGUGGGGUAACGGCUCACCUAGGCGACGAUCCCUAGCUGGUCUGAGAGGAUGACCAGCCACACUGGAACUGAGACACGGUCCAGACUCCUACGGGAGGCAGCAGUGGGGAAUAUUGCACAAUGGGCGCAAGCCUGAUGCAGCCAUGCCGCGUGUAUGAAGAAGGCCUUCGGGUUGUAAAGUACUUUCAGCGGGGAGGAAGGGAGUAAAGUUAAUACCUUUGCUCAUUGACGUUACCCGCAGAAGAAGCACCGGCUAACUCCGUGCCAGCAGCCGCGGUAAUACGGAGGGUGCAAGCGUUAAUCGGAAUUACUGGGCGUAAAGCGCACGCAGGCGGUUUGUUAAGUCAGAUGUGAAAUCCCCGGGCUCAACCUGGGAACUGCAUCUGAUACUGGCAAGCUUGAGUCUCGUAGAGGGGGGUAGAAUUCCAGGUGUAGCGGUGAAAUGCGUAGAGAUCUGGAGGAAUACCGGUGGCGAAGGCGGCCCCCUGGACGAAGACUGACGCUCAGGUGCGAAAGCGUGGGGAGCAAACAGGAUUAGAUACCCUGGUAGUCCACGCCGUAAACGAUGUCGACUUGGAGGUUGUGCCCUUGAGGCGUGGCUUCCGGAGCUAACGCGUUAAGUCGACCGCCUGGGGAGUACGGCCGCAAGGUUAAAACUCAAAUGAAUUGACGGGGGCCCGCACAAGCGGUGGAGCAUGUGGUUUAAUUCGAUGCAACGCGAAGAACCUUAC
rnacentral:rRNA from 1 species